rnacentral:rRNA from 1 species
CCUACGGGUGGCUGCAGUGGGGAAUAUUGCACAAUGGGCGCAAGCCUGAUGCAGCCAUGCCGCGUGUAUGAAGAAGGCCUUAGGGUUGUAAAGUACUUUCAGCGGGGAGGAAGGUGAUAAAGUUAAUACCUUUAUCAAUUGACGUUACCCGCAGAAGAAGCACCGGCUAACUCCGUGCCAGCAGCCGCGGUAAUACGGAGGGUGCAAGCGUUAAUCGGAAUUACUGGGCGUAAAGCGCACGCAGGCGGUCAAUUAAGUCAGAUGUGAAAGCCCCG